rnacentral:rRNA from 1 species
UACGUAGGUGGCAAGCGUUGUCCGGAAUUAUUGGGCGUAAAGCGCGCGCAGGCGGUCCUUUCAGUCUGAUGUGAAAGCCCUCGGCUCAACCGAGGAAGGUCAUUGGAAACUGGAGGACUUGAGUGCAGAAGAGGAAAGUGGAAUUCCAAGUGUAGCGGUGAAAUGCGUAGAGAUUUGGAGGAACACCAGUGGCGAAGGCGGCCCUCUGGACGGUGACUGACGCUGAGACGCGAAAGCGUGGGGAGCAAACAGG